rnacentral:tRNA from 1 species
GCUCAGUGGUAGAGCACGUGCUUAUUAGCAUGCAUGAGGUCCUGGGUUCAAUCCCCAG